AGAGUUUGAUCCUGGCUCAGGAUGAACGCUAGCGGCAGGCCUAACACAUGCAAGUCGAGGGGUAACGACCUUGCUUUCGGGCGGGGGGCGACGACCGGCGCACGGGUGAGUAACGCGUAUGCAACCUACCCUUUACUGGGGAAUAGCCCGAAGAAAUUCGGAUUAAUGCCCCAUAAUAUUAUUUCUUCUCAUGGAGAGAUAAUUAAAACUCCGGUGGUAAAGGAUGGGCAUGCGUGACAUUAGAUAGUUGGUGAGGUAACGGCUCACCAAGUCUACGAUGUCUAGGGGGCCUGAGAGGGUGAUCCCCCACACUGGUACUGAGACACGGACCAGACUCCUACGGGAGGCAGCAGUGAGGAAUAUUGCGCAAUGGAGGAAACUCUGACGCAGCCAUGCCGCGUGCAGGAUGAAUGCCCUAUGGGUUGUAAACUGCUUUUAUACGGGAAUACACAGCUACGUGUAGUUGUUUGAAUGUACCGUACGAAUAAGCAUCGGCUAACUCCGUGCCAGCAGCCGCGGUAAUACGGAGGAUGCAAGCGUUAUCCGGAUUUAUUGGGUUUAAAGGGUGCGUAGGCGGUUUAUUAAGUCAGUGGUGAAAGUCUGCAGCUUAACUGUAGAAUUGCCAUUGAUACUGAUAGACUUGAAUAUAGUUGAGGUAGGCGGAAUGUGUAAUGUAGCGGUGAAAUGCUUAGAUAUUACACAGAACACCGAUUGCGUAGGCAGCUUACUAAACUAUCAUUGACGCUGAGGCACGAAAGCGUGGGGAGCGAACAGGAUUAGAUACCCUGGUAGUCCACGCUGUAAACGAUGAUCACUCGCUGUUGGCAAUACAUCGUCAGCGGCUAAGCGAAAGCAUUAAGUGAUCCACCUGGGGAGUACGUCGGCAACGAUGAAACUCAAAGGAAUUGACGGGGGCCCGCACAAGCGGUGGAACAUGUGGUUUAAUUCGAUGAUACGCGAGGAACCUUACCUGGGCUUAAAUGUAGAAUGACUUUACUCGAAAGAGUAUUUUCCUUCGGGACAUUUUACAAGGUGCUGCAUGGUUGUCGUCAGCUCGUGCCGUGAGGUGUCGGGUUAAGUCCCAUAACGAGCGCAACCCCUAUCACUAGUUGCCAGCAUGUAAUGGUGGGGACUCUAGUGAAACUGCCGGUGUAAACCGUGAGGAAGGUGGGGGUGACGUCAAAUCAGCACGGCCCUUAUGUCCAGGGCUACACACGUGUUACAAUGGUCGGUACAAAGGGAUGCUACCAGGUGACUGGAUGCUAAUCUCCAAAAACCGGUCUCAGUUCGGAUUGAAGUCUGCAACUCGACUUCAUGAAGCUGGAAUCGCUAGUAAUCGCGCAUCAGCAAUGGCGUGGUGAAUACGUUCCCGGGCCUUGUACACACCGCCCGUCAAGCCAUGGAAGCCGGGGGUACCUGAAGGCUGUAACCGCAAGGAGCGGUCUAGGGUAAAACUGGUAACUGGGGCUAAGUCGUAACAAGGUA
rnacentral:rRNA from 1 species